AAGUUCAACUUAUUACAAAAAUUUCCGUGAAAAUUGAAAACAAAUGAAUUGAUUGAAUAACGCAUUCUUCAUUGAUUAUUGUUAUAACAUUAUUAUACGAUAUAAACUAAUGAACACAAUUCUGUUAUAUUAAUUUUGAUCAGUUUUGCUGCAAGUUCAUCUAAACUGCCGCCAAAGUGACUGCCACUAUGAUUUAAAUCUUAAAGGAUUGGAAAUUCAUUAUUUCCAUAUAUAUCUGCAAAUCGCUGUAGAAUAUCUUGUUAAAGCAUGCAGACAGAUGACCCUCACAAAAAAAAAACCUGGGCCACAUUCGAUUGUGCAAAUCGUAAGCCGAAUGCUCUUGCAAUCUUGGUCAGGGAAACGAUGGAAAAAUUUUUACUGUCCAUCAAGGAUUCCGCCUACUCUUCAUAAGUUGGAAAGCAAGGAUUUAGACGGCAAUAUUUAGAUUGUAAAAUUCAACAUCAAAGUCAAACUUUUUCCUUUGAUUUACGCAUGAAAGGAACGGAAAGGGAGAGUGAAAAGGAAGUCAAUCAAUCCAUAAAUUUAAAUGCCUUCGGGUAAAAUGCCAACUUUGUUUUACGCUUUGCUAUCGCUUUCGAUCAUUUCCUGUUUUGAAUUUGGAACUAAGUAGUAAGUGUAAGUUGUAGGCAGAUAAGUCAUACUUUUCCUCAUCAAUGAUUGAUUUUUAUAGUUCAGAAUCCAUAAAUCCCGGCCAUAAGUUGUAGCAGAUAAACUACGUCUCUUGUCAUAAAUUGUUGAUUACUGAUCAUUCAGAACCACCAAUCAAUCGCAAGUUGAAAUGAGAUGCAUUAAAUUCUCCUGCAUCUGGUUCAUCCAUCUCAUACAUUAGAAGACUUAACCUAAAUACAAUUCUUAAACAAUAUCAGGAUUCUGAAUAAUAAGCUUUAACUAUUAGUUUCGUUAAAACAUCAGCAAUGGACAUUAAGAAGAGUAGUCUUAAUGGAUGCAAGCGGAUAUGAUAAGAAAAUUAGGUUAUAAAUCUGGUCUAGAUUGCUACAGAGAACCAUAAGCGGAUUAAAAAGCUUAUAAUGUAACCUGCGUUGGCUAAGUUUAAUUAAGAGAAAGUGCCUUGUCGAAAGGACAGGAACGUUAAAAUUAAUCGGACUCAAUAAGAACGGCGAGUAAAUGACAUCAUUAAUCAGCUUCGCCAUGCGAACAAGUUCCGCGGCGAAAACGACAGCUUCUUACAUUUCUUCUUCAUAAAAUUGAAGAAACACCACAUUACCAAAUUAUCUUCGUCAGCUUGAAGAAGGCGUGACCGAGUUUCCAAAUUAAACGUUCAAUAUCAGAAAUGCGCUCAUCAUAGCCAGCUUUUCUAAUUGCCGAGUAACGGCGGUGGAAUGGCGGGAUAUGAUUACGUUGUAACAAACUCAUUAAGAGUAUAGUCUUCCUAGAUCAAUUUUGUGCCGAUAG